GACAUAGGUGGCGAACGUUAUCCGGAAUUAUUGGGCGUAAAGAGCUCGUAGGCGGUCUGUCGCGUCUGGUGUGAAAUCCCGAGGCUCAACCUCGGGCUUGCAUCGGGUACGGGCGGACUAGAGUGCUGUAGGGGAGACUGGAAUUCCUGGUGUAGCGGUGGAAUGCGCAGAUAUCAGGAGGAACACCGGUGGCGAAGGCGGGUCUCUGGGCCGAUACUGACGCUGAGGAGCGAAAGCGUGGGGAGCGAACAGG
rnacentral:rRNA from 1 species